GGGUUACGACACGCACUUUAAUACUUCUUUAAAGUAUAGUUUUAUAAUUUAUUUUCUUAAAAUAAUUUUGAAUAAAAAUUUAACUAUUAAAUUUUUAUUUAAAAAAAAAUCUUAAAAAUAAGUUAUAGAACUAUAUUUUAUAAAAAUAUUAAAAUGUGUGCCAAAUAGU
rnacentral:miRNA from 1 species